rnacentral:lncRNA from 1 species
GUAGAAAGGAAAACUGUUUGUUGUCUAGUCUAUUUCAGCCUCAUUCAGAUCAAGAUGAUGGAUCUAUUCCUUAUUAUUAUUUUUUGGGUUUUACCAUUUAACAUUAUUUCUUCAUCCAGCUGUCUCAAGGGUUUCUAAAAAUUCAGCUCUAGACUGCAGAUGAGGGCAAGGACUUCAUAGAAGUGAAAUUCUAUUACACAAAUGACUUAUCCAAAACUUUUCAGAGUCUAAUUGUGAAAGGCUUUCAUGAAGAAGUUUGUAAGAAUAAUUGUGUUAUCUCUGAAAAGCUGAGCAUCUUGAUUUCUCAGCCCUGCAUUACUCUGUCAUCAAAAGAGUUUUUCUGUCAGCACAUGAGCUUUUCUCUAUGUGUCAGUGACAAACAUGUUGGCUCCAUUUCCACUGCAGAAGAACCACACUUCAAUGCACAGGAAACAUUGUCAUGGCAAAAUGAAAACUGAGGACUGACAAGAAAAUGGAAUAAACCCUGAAAAUUCAGGAAUAG